rnacentral:tRNA from 1 species
GCUUGAUUCAUUAUAGAUCGUUUCCUUGGCAUGGAAAAGGCCGCGGGUUCAAUUCCCGCCGGCUCCA